GUGGGGAAUAUUGGACAAUGGGCGAAAGCCUGAUCCAGCCAUGCCGCGUGUGUGAAGAAGGUCUUCGGAUUGUAAAGCACUUUAAGUUGGGAGGAAGGGUUGUAGAUUAAUACUCUGCAAUUUUGACGUUACCGACAGAAUAAGCACCGGCUAACUUCGUGCCAGCAGCCGCGGUAAUACGAAGGGUGCAAGCGUUAAUCGGAAUUACUGGGCGUAAAGCGCGCGUCGGUGGUUUUGUAAGUUGGAGGUGAAAUCCCCGGGCUCAACCUGGGAACUGCCUCCAAAACUGCAUGACUAGAGUACGGUAAAGGGUAGUGGAAUUUCCUGUGUAGCGGUGAAAUGCGUAGAUAUAGGAAGGAACACCAGUGGCGAAGGCGACUACCUGGACUGAUACUGACACUGAGGUGCGAAAGCGUGGGGAGCAAACAGGAUUAGAUACCCGUGUAGUCC
rnacentral:rRNA from 1 species